GUAGGGGGCCAACCUUAUUUCGAAUUACUGGGCUUAAAGGGGCUGUAGGCCGGUUCGAAAACCCGCCGUGAAAGGUAUUCGGUUCAACCGAUAGACGGCCUGGCAACUUCCCGGCCUGGAAUCUGGAAGGGGAGCUGGAAUUCCAGGUGUAGGGGUGAAAUCUGUAGAGAUCCGGAAGAACCCCGGUGGCGAAGGCGAGCUUCUGGCCAAUGACUGACGGUGAGGCGAGAAAGCGUGGGGAGCAAACAGGAUUAGAUACCCUGGUAGUUCCCGCCGUAAACGAUGGGCACUAGGUGUAGGAGGAUUUGACCCCUUCUGUGCCGAAGUUAACGCAUUAAGUGUCUCCGCCCGGGGAGUACGGCCGCAAGGUUA
rnacentral:rRNA from 1 species